UACAGAGGUCCCAAGCGUUGUUCGGAUUCACUGGGCGUAAAGGGCGCGUAGGCGGUGCGGUAAGUCUGUAGUGAAAUCUCUGGGCUCAACUCAGAGUCUGCUGCAGAAACUGCCGUGCUUGAGUGUGGGAGAGGUGAGUGGAAUUCCCGGUGUAGCGGUGAAAUGCGUAGAUAUCGGAAGGAACACCAGUGGCGAAAGCGGCUUCCUGGUCCAGCACCGACGUUCAGGCACGAAAGCGUGGGGAGCAAACAGG
rnacentral:rRNA from 1 species